AUUAGGAAGAAAUUUUUUACUAUGAGGGUGGUGAGGCCCUGGCACAGGCUGCCCAGAGAAGCUGUGGGUGCCCCAUCCCUGGCAGUGUUCAAGGCCAAGUUGGUUGGGGCUUGGAGCAACCUGGUCUAGUGGAAGGUGUCCCUGCCCAUGGCAGGGGUUGAAACUGUAUGAACUUUAAGGUCCUUUCCAACCGAAACCAUUCUAUGAAGACAGGUGGCAAACUAGCAGAAGCAAAUAACUUUGAUGUGCCAGUAGUGCAGUAUGGAGCAGGGUCAUUUAUGAACCCCUUGCUCCUAACCCACGGGCCUGGGUCAGGGCCUGGCAGCCAGCCAUGGUUAACCCACCACACCAUUUAAUGGGUUUCAUCUGUAAUCAGGUUUGUCAUGGUAUUCUGCCUGGAUUUUAUGAGAUGUAGGUGUUGGCAGCAGCAAAGGACUGGCAGUACACUACCUGCAGCCUGAAGAAGUAGGGGUGGUGGGUAAGAGUAACUUAGGUGUAUGGAACACGCCAGUUACGGUAGUGUGCUCAGUGCUAGAGAGGACUUGCAUUUUGCGUCUAAGAAACUGCUGUACAGCAUUGCCUUUGAGCCAAAGGGCAUGUGGGAGUUGUAGAAAUGCUGUUUGACUUUGCAGUACUUCCAGCACAACCUCAGGAGAGACAGCUGUUAAAUGGCCAGUGUUACUGGUGAUUACCUGUUUUACCAGGGGAUAGGUUAUCCAGCUCCCUCAUCUUAAGCAGCCAUUGCACCCAGCAAACAUCUUGGAGACUGAUCAGACUUAUCACAG